CAAUAGCGUAUAUUAAAGUUGUUGCAGUUAAAAAGCUCGUAGUUGGAUUUCUGGCGGUGUGACUCCGGCCGGCAUGACGUCGGGUCCAGAGCGCGCCACCAUCCUUCUGUCAACCUUCGCGGGAUUCGCUUCCCGCGUUGUGGGCUCAGAUAUUUUACCUUGAGAAAAUUAGAGUGUUUCAGGCAGGCUUUCGCCGGAAUACAUUAGCAUGGAAUAAUAAGAUAGGACCUCGGUUCUAUUUUGUUGGUUUCUAGAGCUGAGGUAAUGAUUAAUAGGGAUAGUUGGGGGCAUUCGUAUUUAACUGUCAGAGGUGAAAUUCUUGGAUUUGUUGAAGACAGACUACUGCGAAAGCAUUUACCAAGGAUGUUUUCAUUGAUCAAGAACGAAAGUUAGGGGAUCGAAGACGAUUAGAUACCGU
rnacentral:rRNA from 1 species